rnacentral:tRNA from 1 species
GGUCUACUGGCGCAAUGGUAGCGUAUCAGCCUUCUAUAGGGUCAGCCAUAUAGGGGCGAGCUGAGGGUUGCGGGUUCGAGCCCCGCGUGGACCU